rnacentral:rRNA from 1 species
UACGUAGGGUGCAAGCGUUGUCCGGAAUUAUUGGGCGUAAAGAGCUCGUAGGCGGUUUGUCGCGUCUGCUGUGAAAACCCGAGGCUCAACCUCGGGCCUGCAGUGGGUACGGGCAGACUAGAGUGCGGUAGGGGAGAUUGGAAUUCCUGGUGUAGCGGUGAAAUGCGCAGAUAGUCAGGAGGAACACCGGUGGCGAAGGCGGGUCUCUGGGCCGAUACUGACGCUGAGGAGCGAAAGCGUGGGGAGCGAACAGG